ensembl:lncRNA
GAAUUGUAGAACAUCCUGGGUUGAAAAGGACCACAAUGAUCAUCGAGUUUCAACCCCCUGCUAUGUGCAGGGGUAGCCAACCACCAGACCAGGCUGCCCAGAGCCACGUCCAGCCCAGCCUUGCAAUACAGAGUUGCAUCUCUGAAUGAGAUACUGAUGAGAGACAUCUAGGAACGAUAAAUCUUCCCUAAAUAUGUCAUUUCCAGUUGUAUUUAUUCAACUAAUUAUACUAUUUGUGUCCUGAUGAUAAGGAUGGAAAGAAAGCUGCAGCAGCGAUCUGGAAUGAUCCCUACUUGUUCUAACUAAUGUUUCUCAAAGGAAUUUUAACACAAAUUUUGUGUUCAGCCAGCAACAAGUCUGUUCUUUUUUUUUUUUUUUUUUUUAUUCUGUGGGACAAUUUGCAACAAAUUAUUGUUUUCUUGUAGAAAGCCAGUAUAUAAAAUUUUCAACCCACUCCCAAAGCACAUGCAUCAUUAGACAGCACAAAACCUGGGGCUGCUGGACUCCUGGCUGCCCUAACACUGAUGUACCUCAAAAAAAGCAGCUGCUCAGCAGUGAGGAAGCCUCAGAGAUGGAUAUUCAAAAGGGGCAACAAGUCUGAGGAUCUGGGAGGCCUGGGGAGGAGAACCAGGUAGGUUUGAGCCUCCACCAGCCUGGGAGGAGGGAGCUGGAGAGCUCCAAGCCCUCUUCGUAGACAGGGAGGGAGCCAGCUGUGCUGAAGCAGGGUGGGAAACCAAAGUUAUUCCUUUCUAAUGGUGGUGUAGAUUUUACCCACCCUAAAGGUGAGCUCACCCACUGUUACAUCCCAUUGCAUUCUUGCUCAGAGCAUCCCAGAGGCUGGCCCAGCAGGGACCCAACUGCCCCCCUCUGCUCCCUUGGGGUUUCACUGCCACACCUCAGAACACCAAAGUGGCCCUUUCCAGCCCUUUCCCAUUGGGAACGUUUUGACACUGCUCUUCCCUACAGAGCAAUAGCAUUUCCAGUUACCACUAAAAUAUGUAAAACUUUCACAAGCAUCAAAAAUGUGAAGCAAGAGCAGCAUUUCAGCCACCAAAUGAGUAAUACCUCUGAAAAAGACUUAACA